rnacentral:lncRNA from 1 species
CCCCGCCUCCCCGCAGCGCUGACCUCCACGCCCGGACCCCUGGCCACCCCGACAAGCUUCGCCGAGGUGCCGACCGACCAACUGAUCGCGGACGCCGGCUGGAAGGACUACGGAUCCGCAGGAAGAGGCAGUGGGGGGCCAGGGGCCCAGUAGAGGAGGCUGAGGUGCGGUCUUAGCGGCUGCUACUCGGAAGGCUGAAACAGGAGAAUCGCUUGAACCUGGGAGGCAGAGGUUGCGGUGAGCCGAAAUCGCGCCAGUGUACUCCAGCCUGGGCAACAAGAGCAAAACUUCGUCUCAAAAAGAAAAAGAAAACUUGAGUAUUAAAUGAGAAGUCAUACUAAGUACUUGGCACAUAGCAGAGAUCCGUAAAUGAUGGAACCAAUUUGCCCAGCCCUGGAGAGGCCGCCAGGACAGAACCCCCAGGCAGCGUGGGCCUCUGCUUCUCUAGAGCAUCACCAUAUCAGGAAUCCCUGGAAUGGGCCCUGGGGAACUCCAUAAGGGGAGAAGUGGAGGAGGGGCAGGCUUUUCAUCCCAGGAACAUUCCAUUCUAACUGCUCAGGCUAGGGGAUCCCAGCCAAGGACAAAGGCCCAAGGGAACCUCUGCUUCCCCAGGAGUCCCAUUCCAUACUAUUGAAUCCUGCAUCUUCUCUCCACAAUGCCCCCGCCCCCUUCAGGCAGAUUUCAAGUUGAAGGGCUUGGGUGGGGCUGGGUGGCUGUGGGAAAGAGGCCAUUAAAGCUCUUGGAAUUAUUCUUUCCAGCUCCUUCCAACUCCUCAGAACCUCCACUCUAUGGAUCUGGACCUCUGGAUUCGGCUUUCUCCCUGGGCACUGCCUUCAGGAAGACGUUGAGAAUUGACCUUACACAAUCCCAGCGCCCUCCUCACAGGAGCCUUUCACUUUACAGUGGCAAGGGGCUGGUUCUGGGGAACUGGCUGAUGCUCUGAAUUUCUUCAUAUACCCCACAUUUGACUUUGGCUUACACUGUACAAUUGGAGAUGUUGCUACAGGUCCCUGAGAUGCAAUCAGAUUAAGCGUAGCAAGCAUUGCCAAUGGGAAAGUCAAAAUAAUUUAUUUUUUUUCCCUUUCCCCCUACCCCAUCCCCAGCCAAGAAUUUCUUUUAAAGAUAUCGUCAUCAUUCUUAAACAACAUUCUUAACCCCCAGCUGGGGUCCCCAUUUUAGUAGAUGUCAUUGCUUCAAGUCUAACGGCGCCGGGAGGCCUGUUUGAGGGAAAACAUUAGUUUGAAAAAUCCCCGUUCCCUUCAUCCACUGCCCUUGUUCUCCACGUGGGAGUGUGCCUGUGGCCCCUUAGAAAGAUAGUCUGCUGGCUCCUAGGGGUUGGGGUGGGGGACACACCUUUUUCUCAGGAAGAGGUGAUGGCAAUGUAAAACAUCUAAGCAAAGUUUUAAAUGAAAAAAAGGAAACACAUUUAAACAUCCUGAUAAUGGAGGGAAGGGGGGCACAUUUACACAUAGCCCAGAACUUGUAGAAUUCUGCAUAGUGAAUGUAUAUUGAAUUAGUCUCCUGCCUUAUACAUUCAGGAAGAAUAAAUUUCC